rnacentral:lncRNA from 1 species
AUGUCACGGCCACACAGGAAGAAAAUUCCCUGUGAACAGUCUAGGUAUCCAGACAGCCCAUCACCACACAAGAGUAAUCUUCUGGUCGAGAACCUUCCCUUGCUCCCCUUCUUUGAAGGAGCCCUCCGUCCACGAUGGCACAUAUCUUCCCGCUGCAAUGCUCUGCUUCUCUCAAACACUCUUACUCCUCAGAGAAUCUAUUUUGUUCUUGCUGCUGCUGCUGUCUUAGACUGACUAUUCCAAAUGUCAGUCUGCAGGCUGGGAUGAGCAAUGAUCCCA